AUUGAACGCUGGCGGCAUGCUUUACACAUGCCAGUCGAACGGUAACAGGCCUUCGGGUGCUGACGAGUGGCGAACGGGUGAGUAAUGCAUCGGAACGUACCCAGAGGUGGGGGAUAACGCAGCGAAAGCUGUGCUAAUACCGCAUGUGAUCUGAGGAUGAAAGCGGGGGACCGAGCAGCAAUGUUUGGCCUCGCGCCUUUGGAGCGGCCGAUGUCGGAUUAGCUAGUUGGUGGGGUAAAGGCCUACCAAGGCGACGACCCGUAGCUGGUCUGAGAGGACGACCAGCCACACUGGGACUGAGACACGGCCCAGACUCCUACGGGAGGCAGCAGUGGGGAAUUUUGGACAAUGGGCGCAAGCCUGAUCCAGCAAUGCCGCGUGCGGGAAGAAGGCCUUCGGGUUGUAAACCGCUUUUGGCAGGAACGAAACGGUGUCCGCUAAUACCGGGCGCUAAUGACGGUACCUGCAGAAUAAGCACCGGCUAACUACGUG
rnacentral:rRNA from 1 species